UUUCUCUGAAGUACUUGAGAUGGGUACCUAAGGCCUCUCUAAGUCAGCAGUUUCCCCCUUAGAGGAAGAAGAUCGAGAGGGAGACAGAAAAUUGGAUGACGAGAUAAAGUGAAGGAAGAUAUGGAGAGAAGAGGUCUGGUGGAUGAUGAUGCCUUUGAUAGAAGGCAGUGGAGAAGGCGCAUCAGGCAACCGACCCCAUAAUGUAGGGAUAACAGUGGGAAAGAAGAAUGAGAAGAGUUUCCUUCCAGGAGCAGCCGAAUUUAUGUACAUCCAUAGACAUACUACCAGACACCUGCCCAACAAUCUACAAUCUUUCAAAAAAUGAAUAACUUUUGGUUAAUAGCAUCUGUAUAAAGUUUAAGAUCUACCCAUAGAAGAAUUGUCUGCCAGAAAUCAUAACAUCCCGU